rnacentral:rRNA from 1 species
UACGUAGGGUGCGAGCGUUGUCCGGAUUUAUUGGGCGUAAAGAGCUCGUAGGCGGUUUGUCGCGUCUGCUGUGAAAACCCGAGGCUCAACCUCGGGCCUGCAGUGGGUACGGGCAGACUAGAGUGCGGUAGGGGAGAUUGGAAUUCCUGGUGUAGCGGUGGAAUGCGCAGAUAUCAGGAGGAACACCGAUGGCGAAGGCAGAUCUCUGGGCCGUAACUGACGCUGAGGAGCGAAAGCGUGGGGAGCGAACAGG